rnacentral:rRNA from 1 species
AGAGAGAGACAUGCGCGCAUAUCAAUAAGCGGAGGAAAAGAAACUAACAAGGAUUCCCCUAGUAACGGCGAGUGAAGCGGGAAGAGCUCAAAUUUGAAAUCUUAAAGGGUUUCCCUUUACGAAUUGUAGUUUAAAGAAGUGUUUUCUGUUGAGGUUUUGGUAAAAGUUCUUUGGAAUAGGACAUCAUAGAGGGUGAGAAUCCCGUAUUUGACCUUUACUUUCAACUUUGUGAUACACUUUCAAAGAGUCGGAUUGUUUGGGAAUGCAGUCCAAAAUGGGUGGUAAAUUUCAUCUAAAGCUAAAUAUUGGCGAGAGACCGAUAGCGAACAAGUACCGUGAGGGAAAGAUGAAAAGAACUUUGAAAAGAGAGUUAAACAGUACGUGAAAUUGUCAAAAGGGAAGCGUUUGACACCAGUGUUGUUUUUCUGAAAAUCAAUUAAAGAAUUGUUUAUGCUAAGCUGUUUAGACUUUAUCAGCUAUCUGUUUAGUUUUGAGCUUUUCUUUAAUGCACUUUUCAGUUAACAAGUCAACAUCAAUUUCUUUUGCUGUAAAAAAGCUUGAGGAAGGUGGCUUGAGAUUCGUCUUAAGUGUUUAUAGCCUCUUGCCUAUGCAGUCGGAGAGAUUGAGGUCUGCAGCGUAGGUCCUUCGGGGCUAAAUGCAUUUGUGCUAAGUUAUAGCAUUUUAUAGACAACUUGUUGACUAUGAUUUGUCUUGUAGCUUACUCGCUUAUGUUAUUUUACCUACGCUUAGGAUGUUGAAGACUCUACAGAGAUA